GGCUAAAUACGACCACGAGACCGAUAGCGAACAAGUACCGUGAGGGAAAGUUGAAAAGCACUUUGAAGAGAGAGUUCAAGAGUACGUGAAACCGUUUAGGGGUAAACCUGAGAAACCCGAAAGGUCGAAGGGAGAAAUUCAUUCGCGUCUCGAGGCAGGCGUCGGACGGGGUCGAGCGACGGAACGGGCGCGCGUUUUUCUUCGGAAUCGCGCGUUCGACUUCGCGCCCUCCGUCCGUUCGAACCGGCAGCGAACGCGUGCACUUUUCUCCUGGUAGGACGUCGCGAUCCGUCGGGCGUCGGUCUACGACUUGCGGCGGAGACCGUCCGUCGUUCUUCGGAACGUACGGCGCGGACCCGCUCGUUCCGGCCGACUCGCUCGACGGUACAAAUCGAGGUCUGGGGUCGCUGCUACUUUUAGUCUCGCGUUCGCGCGCGAGACGAAAAAGAGAGCGUUCGACUCGUCGCAAGCGCGUCACGUGCGUCGGCACGCGGACCCGGUGCCGCGUCCGAUCUCUGGCGACUGUUGGCGACGAUUAGUUCUCGAACAGACUUCCCUCUCGGGGGGGGAGAGAGGGGUCAAACUCUUUCUCUCUCUCUCGAAGACCGAUCGGCGACG
rnacentral:rRNA from 1 species